UUGGCCGCUGAUGUUGUCAUUUUGUUUUCUAAAUUUAGCCCCGCUAGUAUGAGCGUGAAGUAGAGAAAAGUGAGCGCGGCGCAUCCGCGCAAAAGCAGCGCAAACUUCAAAACGUCGUGGCGGGGCGUGUGUAGUUGUGCAAAACGACUAAUAGGAAUCACUUUGUUUUUACUGCACACACGGCCGUUUGGCAGCUGUCACACAAGUAGCGCAAGUGGGGCUCGUGUCGGGAUAGGUGGAGAGCUCGGGUGUGUGCACUGGCGACCGUGUCAAUCGCUACGCACACACUGGCACGGAAACAGUUUUCAGUUCUCGAUCCACACUCCGCCAUUCAACUUUAAUUUUUACACAUUCUGGGAGCUAGAAAAAAAGCAGCUAAAGAACGCGUACGCUGAGAAAAUUUCGUGCUUGAAACGUCUUAAAUUUCAAUUUUGUUGUUGAGUUUGUCGGUUUCUGGUUUCCCGCGGCGUGCGGUCUUCAACAACAAACGUCCUUGCGUAGAGUCUGACAUUGGGAACGGGCCAUCGAGAAGAAUUCGGACUCGAAACGACUUUCAUUGAUCACAAACGUCGUCCUCGCUGCGUUUUCUCGGCGACGACAUCGUGUUUGGUUGCUCCCUUUUUUCUUUUUGCCACAAGUGCUUCGAAUAACCGCUGGCGUAAUCGUUAUCAGUGACAUCCUCGUGAAUUUCUGCUUUGCGUUGCAGUAGGCGCUCCGGAUCGUGGGUGCAUCGUCGCGUAGUUACCGCACGCUUAGAGAAAAAACGGUGAAAGAUAAAAGCCAGGGACGAAGGCUUGCACCUUAACGGAAGGUUCCCUCAACUUGGUCGUGUACGGAGCAAGCAGGGCUGGUGAUGUUCCUGCAGAAGUAACAUUUCACCGGAAUAACGAAGUGAACCAGUAACAGAACAAAAGGACAACUGAAAAUAUCCUUCUCUAUGAGUUCAGUAUGAAAAUAGGAAAUGGGAGGUUUCUUGGAUAAACCGAAGACAGUUAAACAUAACGAACAUGGUGAAGGCAAUGGACUUACUUACGGCGUCGGCUCUAUGCAGGGCUGGCGUUGUGAAAUGGAAGAUGCACACUACGCCCGGACGGGGUUAGGUGAAAAAUUCGAAGAAUGGAGCUUCUUUGCAGUAUUCGACGGUCAUGCAGGCUGUAAAGUGAGCGAACAUUGUGCAAAACAUUUACUUCAGUACAUCAUAGACACGGAUGAGUUCAAAAAUGGCGAUUACGUUAAAGGAAUUCGAACUGGAUUUCUACGAAUUGAUGAAAUUAUGCGUGAAUUGCCUGAAUUGACAGCGGACGCUGAAAAGUGUGGCGGAACAACAGCUGUUUGUACAUUUGUUUCAGAUAAACAUAUUUACAUUGCAAAUUGUGGAGAUUCACGAGCCGUUCUAUGCCGAAAUGGAGUACCCGUUUUUGCAACACAGGAUCACAAACCUGUACUACCAAAAGAAAAGGAACGAAUCUGUCGAGCAGGUGGCAAUGUGAUGAUACAACGAGUUAAUGGCAGUUUAGCUGUGUCUCGAGCAUUGGGCGAUUAUGAUUUCAAAAAUGUUAAGGAAAAAGGACAAUGCGAACAGCUUGUAUCGCCUGAACCAGAAAUUUUUUGUGAAGAGCGUGAUGAAAGUGAUGAGUUCUUAGUACUUGCCUGUGAUGGUAUCUGGGAUGUAAUGACCAAUGAGGAUGUUUGUAGCUUUAUUCAUUCGAGGCUUAAAAUUACCAAUGAUUUGGAAUUUAUUUCAAAUCAAGUUAUUGAUACAUGCUUACAUAAGGGGAGUCGUGAUAAUAUGAGUAUCAUCAUUAUUGCAUUCUCUGGAGCGCCAAAACCUUCACCUGAAGCUAUUGAAGAAGAUCGGCUAUUGGAGCAACAUAUUGAAAGCAUAAUCAGAGAAGAACUUGUGUGUAAGCAAAUAAAUGAAUACGCCGAGUUGCUGGAAGCCCUUCACUUACGCGAAAUCGAAGGUUUGCCGCCAGGUGGUGGUCUGCAAUCAAAAUAUGAAGUAAUCGAGAAAACGUUCAAGGAGAUUUGGCCUAAUCUGGCAUACCAGUGUGAAUAAAGAAAAAUGUGAUAUCAACAAUGUUUACUCGGCAAAUCCAGCGUUGUCUGCUAUCUAUGUUAAAAGUGUAUAUCCGUAAUAGAGCCAAAAAAUAAUACCUGUCAGGUAACCAGCCACUUCAUGGUUGUGUGGUGGAAUCUAAAAGCUUAAGAGUCCAACGCAUUGAUUUCCGGUGUUUUAAUCUAUAUAUAUUUACAACCUGAAUGUUUGCAAUUUUAAUUUUACUCGUUAUUUGAAUAAAGAAAAGAAGAAUUGAGUGUUUCAUGUACUUUAUGUGAAAAACUCUGUGUAAUAAGAAACUUUGUAUAAAUACCUACUAUAAAAAUAAGAAACGAAAUCAGUGAGAAAGGAACACCACUAAAGAGAAAUUCAUUCGUUCUGAACUAUAGAUACAAGUAAGAAGUAUAUAAUUGGGAGUUAACAAAAGAUGAAGUAUGUUGUAUAUGUGAAUUUUUUUUAAAAAAAAAGAAAGAAGAGAAGAUAUAUUUCAUAAAGAUGCGGAUAGGAAAGCCAAUCAUGACAAGGAGGAGAAAAGUAAGAAUCACUUAAAAAGAAAAGUACAGUAGAUUGUCGGUGUAGUGAACCUUUCAAAUUUUGAAAAGCAUCUUACAAAAACUUCUUUAUAUCAAAGGAUGAUGUAAACAGUACUUGGUUUCGUCCUUGAACAGUAUUAGGUUCAAUUUAAAAUAUUAAUUGAAAACGAUGUACGAAUAUUCUUCAUAAUAUGUAAAUGUAAAUAUGGAAUACCAGUAGAGAAUAUCACAAACAAUUUUGUCCGUCAUAAAUGGUCAAUCUCAUUAAAAAUUUACGUGUAUUGUAAUUCAAGCAUUUUCAGAUGUAAUAAUUUUUAGGUUCAGUCACUAGAAGAUAUACCACUUGUCCGAAGGUUCAUUAUCCCAAAAGUCUACUGUACUGUACAACUAAAAAUAUGGCAGAGAUCGAUUUGUUUUACACUCAAUUACAUGAAGAAUAUCUUUUAUAGGAAGGACCUUUUAUUUAUAUGAAUAGUGCGUAAAUGGAAAGUAACUGAAUUUUCGAGAUCAAUGUCAUUUAAAACUAAGGAUAUGUCAUUAGUAGUAAUUAACGGAGAAACAAAAUGAAUAUAUGAUUUGAGUUUAUUUUUUUUUUUUUGAAUGGAGGACGAUGUGUAUAAAUCUUGUUGAUGUACUUCAUUAGGUUUGUUUUUUUUUUAUUUUCCUGUCUAAAAGAUAUAUGUUAGUCUGAAAUCCUGAACGAUCGAUUUGUUCUUUAGUAAAUCUGAACAAAUCAAUGCCCUUACUUCAUGUAUCUAGUUCAAGUGUAGAAUUUUUGUAACACGAUCGAUAAUCAGGCACGGGAACACUUACAACCCCACUUCACAAUUCAGGAUUUGACUCUAACGUAUAUAUUCCACUGUACAUUAGCUUGUUGAUAAUUAUAGUUUUUAUUGUACGAUUGUAAUUUAUAUGGUUCAAUGCAAAGUACUACUUUACAACUUUAUUUAUUUUGAUGACUACCUUUACUUCUUCACCAUGGUAACUUCUAGAUCUUUUGAUAAAUGUUAAAAACCGAAGCUUGGACAAAGAAAAUAUCCAGAGAAUAAACUUACCACUCAACAACAACUACAACCAACAAUAAUUUCAGUGAUACAAUAAAGAUACAAAUGCAAAAUGGUCAUAUGUACGUAUAUCAUGAUUGCAAGUGUGCACAAAACAACAUUUUCCAUAAAAAAGAAUUAUAUUUCAGUAGUUUUACAGAAAUAAAUUAUAGUAUGUGUUUA